rnacentral:rRNA from 1 species
UACGUAGGGUGCAAGCGUUGUCCGGAAUUAUUGGGCGUAAAGAGCUCGUAGGCGGUCUGUCGCGUCGGCUGUGAAAUCCCGGAGCUCAACUCCGAGUCUGCAGUCGAUACGGGCAAACUGGAGUACUGCAGGGGAGACUGGAAUUCCUGGUGUAGCGGUGAAAUGCGCAGAUAUCAGGAGGAACACCGGUGGCGAAGGCGGGUCUCUGGGCAGUAACUGACGCUGGAGGAGCGAAAGCGUGGGAGCGAACAGG